AACGAACGCUGGCGGCAUGCCUAACACAUGCAAGUCGAACGAGACCUUCGGGUCUAGUGGCGCACGGGUGCGUAACGCGUGGGAAUCUGCCCUUGGGUUCGGAAUAACAGUUAGAAAUGACUGCUAAUACCGGAUAAUGUCUUCGGACCAAAGAUUUAUCGCCCAGGGAUGAGCCCGCGUAGGAUUAGCUAGUUGGUGAGGUAAAAGGCUCACCAAGGCGACGAUCCUUAGCUGGUCUGAGAGGAUGAUCAGCCACACUGGGACUGAGACACGGCCCAGACUCCUACGGGAGGCAGCAGUGGGAAUAUUGGACAAUGGGCGAAAGCCUGAUCCAGCAAUGCCGCGUGAGUGAU
rnacentral:rRNA from 1 species